AUUGAACGCUGGCGGCAUGCCUUACACAUGCAAGUCGAACGGCAGCACGGGGGGUAACCCUCGGUGGCGAGUGGCGAACGGGUGAGUAAUACAUCGGAACGUAUCCUGUAGCGGGGGAUAACCUCUCGAAAGAGAGGCUAAUACCGCAUACGACCUACGGGUGAAAGAGGGGGAUCGCAAGACCUCUCACUAUUGGAGCGGCCGAUGUCGGAUUAGCUAGUUGGUGGGGUAACGGCCCACCAAGGCUACGAUCCGUAGCUGGUCUGAGAGACGACCAGCCACACUGGGACUGAGACACGGCCCAGACUCCUACGGGAGGCAGCAGUGGGGAAUUUU
rnacentral:rRNA from 1 species